ensembl:lncRNA
UGCUCUGUUGAGGGCGGGGCUCGAUGGCGAACCUUUGGCUGCUCUGGUGGGGGUUUUUAUGGGGACAAAAAGGAUUGGGCCGGGGUAGAUCUGAGCCCAGCAUUGAGCAGCUCCAUCAUCUCCUCAGUGAAUUUCAGGUGUGGGGAGGAGGGAGAAAGGGAGGGGGAGGAGGGUGAAGGCCUAUCAGGGGUUUGGGGGACUGGGGGAGGUCGUGGCCCCUGGUCCUGGUCGUUGGUGUUGUUGAGAGAGUUGGAGGAAAGUAGGGACCCCUCUUCUUGCCUCAGACAUCUCUCCUUUCUGAGGCUCUUCCCGGGUGGGGGCAGAUGGAGCUCCUCCUCAAGGUUUCUGCUGGGCUUUGUCUGUUGUUGGAGUACUGUUUGUUCCUCUUUAUGAGAUAACUCCUCGUUUAUCUCAGCCUUGGCACCAAGCACAGAUGGAUGACGUAUGGAAUAAAACAAGUUGGAGGUGAACAGUUUCACCCCUGACUUGUUAAAAUUAAAUCCAUUUGCUUUAAACAGAUGCCUGCGUUCCCAAAAAAUAUUAAAGUUGUUAAUAAAAUGCACUGAGUGGUCAGUACAUGCUGAUAUAAGCCAUUUAUUCAGUGCAAACAAUCUGCUGAAUCUCUCGUCUCCUCCUCUGACGGGCGGUACAGGUCCACUGAUGAAUACAGCUGCAUUCAGAGAGUUUACAGUAUUUAAUAAUCCAGUAAAGUCCCGUUUCAGAACCUCCGACUGUUGUUUGGACACAACGUUUGACCCUGUAUGCAGAACAAUGUUUGUCACAGUUGGAUAUUCAUCUGCAAUCUGAAGAAUUCUCUCCUUCAGGUUGUUGACCAUAUCCUUAGGAAAGCAGAGGACUUUAGUGUUCUUACCGCACAUCCUUUGUACAUCCUUUACGGCAGAGUCACCCAAAAUCAGAGUUUCAGGCCUAGCCUUUAGCUUUCCCUGUGGCCUUUUACUUUUCAACAGAUUUUCAGACCUUACUUCGCUACUUUUAGAUGGAUGGUUGUCCGAUAUAGAUCCAGGGUCCUUUGAUAGUGGAGAAAAUCUGUUCUGCAGUUUCACAUUCAGGUGUUUUGGAGGUUUGUUGUUAACCUUCCUAUUCACGGUUGUCCAGUCCUGUUUCCUCCCGUAUACAGGGGUAGAAGAGCUUCUCUGUCUUGUAGGAAGUGAAGGCCAGUCGGUUUCAGAGAUUUCAGCUCGCUGUGCUCUGCCUGUGAUACGUCCUCCCCCUUCCAGGAGACAUGAUUUAUGUCUUGGUUUUGCGCCAAGACAGUCCAAGGGGGGAUUAUCGCUUGAGGAUUUAUAAUAAUGCACAGAGUCUACUUUCUUGGUCAUGUUAUCUGUGCUCCUUAGCUGUGUACUAGCUUGCUCAUCGCCAUUGCUUUGAAUCAAAGGCAAGGUUGUUUCAUUUCCACACAGUCCAUUUACCUCCACGUUUACUUCUAAGCGAUGAAUUUUUGUCUCCAGUACUGCAAUCUUCUGCAGGAGGCUGUGGUAGUCAUCUGUGGAGAGGGAAGGCAUCUUGUUGCUAGUUAGCCUAGCGGUUAGCGACUUUCCAGGCUAUUGAGGCUGUUCGGUGUCCAGACGCUGUAAUCAGGCUUCAGCUGUGUCUAGGCCACAGACACACGGAGCGCUGAGGAUAAGUCAUCCAGAUCAUCAUAGUCUACGGAGCUUGAAAAAAAGCAAGGUGAAACGUCUUCAAGAAACGUCAAGAAGUCCAGACGUGUUGUUACAUUGCAG